AAGUCGUAACAAGGUUUCCGUAGGUGAACCUGCGGAAGGAUCAUUAAUAAAUGGCGAAAGCUUUCUAUUAUCCAUAACACCUGUGAACUAUUUGCCUUCGGGCACCAAACCAAACAUAAUGUAAUGAAUGUAAUCUACUAUAAUAAAUAUAACUUUCAACAACGGAUCUCUUGGCUCUCACAUCGAUGAAGAACGCAGCGAAAUGCGAUAAGUAAUGUGAAUUGCAGAAUUCAGUGAAUCAUCGAAUCUUUGAACGCACAUUGCGCCCCCUGGUAUUCCGGGGGGCAUGCCUGUUCGAGCGUCAUUUCACCACUCAAGCCUCGCUUGGUAUUGGGCAACGCGGUCCGCCGCGUGCCUCAAAUCGUCCGGCUGGGUCUUCUGUCCCCUAAGCGUUGUGGAAACUAUUCGCUAAAGGGUGUUCGGGAGGCUACGCCGUAAAACAACCCCAUUUCUAAGGUUGACCUCGGAUCAGGUAGGGAUACCCGCUGAACUUAA
rnacentral:rRNA from 1 species